rnacentral:lncRNA from 1 species
CUCGGGCUGUGCCCGCGAACUUUCCCAAAGGUCCGGUCCCCGCGCCCCGUAAGAGCCCGAGCACCCGGGCCUGAUGUCCCCGGAGACGGGGCAGGGCCGCCCGGCGGCGCCGUUGGCGGGGAGGCUUCCAGGAGUGCGCGGUUGGAGUUGGAGCUUUUCGAAUCUCAACUCCCACCCUUCUAUCUUUGACUAAGGGAAGCGAUGGCAUUUUAUCUAGACAGUACCGUUUGCGGACUGCCUUAAAAGUUAAAACUUUUAAUUUUUUUCUCAUCAGUCCAGCACGUUCUUGAAACAAGAUUUGGAAUUUGGCCGCAGUGGGCCGACGCCGGGGCCGCAGAUUCAUACGUUGAUCUCUCCAUCCUUGUUGGUUUCUAGUCUCCCUCCCCCUCUUCCACCCAGGCUUAAUCAUAUUUUGGAACGGGCGAGGUCUUUUGUUGGGUGGGCACCCCCCUUGAUUGCUUGUCUGUUUAUUUUUUGAUGUGCAGUUAAUUUGAUUUGAAUUUCCUCCAGUUUCCACGCUCUCGUAGGGCAACGUUUUGAGGGAAUACGCCACCUUUUUUUUUUUUCUUCUUUUUUUUAAUGUGGAGAGAGGUGGGGCAUUGGGAAAGGGGAGGCACGGUGGUUGUGGGCAAAGAGUCAGAGGGAGCAGACAGACCCGGAAGAAAAGGAAUCUGCUCUGGAAUAACAAACCCUUUUUUUUUUUUUUUUUGAGGCUUCUGGCCUCUGGCAAAAAUGCUCUGUUCUACUGCCUGAGCUGCUCUUUACUCUCAAGUUAGAGCUGUGACACGGGGCCGGGACUACGCCCGGGGGAAGAGGCCAUGCAGCCACGCCAAGAGCAGCCUGUAGCCCUGGUUUUGUGCCUUGUAUGGGGGCCAGUGGUUUCCCCUGGUUGGAAGCGGCCUCUGUGGAACCGGCGUUUUGUAAAUUUCCUGGCUCUCCGGGAGCGGCUGUUAAUGACGCUGGUUGGCACUGCUGAAGUGGACAAGACAGUCAGCUUGAUUCAGAAUCAUUCUUAAGGUGGAGGGGAAGAACGACAGUCUCCUAGAGGAAUUUCCAAAAUUGAAUGAUAGAGGC